rnacentral:rRNA from 1 species
UCAAAUUUGAAAUCUGGCACCUUCGGUGUCCGAGUUGUAAUUUGAAGAUUGUAACCUUGGGGUUGGCUCUUGUCUAUGUUUCUUGGAACAGGACGUCACAGAGGGUGAGAAUCCCGUGCGAUGAGAUGCCCAAUCCUAUGUAAGGUGCUUUCGAAGAGUCGAGUUGUUUGGGAAUGCAGCUCUAAGUGGGUGGUAAAUUCCAUCUAAAGCUAAAUAUUGGCGAGAGACCGAUAGCGAACAAGUACAGUGAUGGAAAGAUGAAAAGAACUUUGAAAAGAGAGUGAAAAAGUACGUGAAAUUGUUGAAAGGGAAGGGUUUGAGAUCAGACUCGAUAUUUUGUGAGCCUUGCCUUCGUGGCGGGGUGACCCGCAGCUUAUCGGGCCAGCAUCGGUUUGGGCGGUAGGAUAAUGGCGUAGGAAUGUGACUUUGCUUCGGUGAAGUGUUAUAGCCUGCGUUGAUGCUGCCUGCCUAGACCGAGGACUGCGAUUUUAUCAAGGAUGCUGGCAUAAUGAUCCCAAACCGCCCGUCUUGAAACACGGACCAC